CGGGAUGUAGCUCAGCUUGGUAGAGCAUUCGCUUUGGGAGCGAAAGGUCCAAUGUUCGAAUCAUUGUAUCCCGACCA
rnacentral:tRNA from 1 species